rnacentral:misc_RNA from 1 species
AACGCACAUUGCACUCUCUGGUAUUCCGGAGAGUAUGCUUGUUUGAGUAUCAGUAAACACCUCAAAUCUCUACUUUGUUGUAAAGAAUUGGACUUGAGCAAUCCCAACUGUCGAAAGAGAGGAGGGUUGCUUGAAAUGCAGGUGCAGCUAGACAUUCUUCUGAGCUAAAAGCAUAUUUAUUUAGUCCCGUCAAACGGAUUAUUACUUUUGCUCUAGCUAAUAUAAAGGUUGAAUGCGCUACAUGCUGACUGAUGCAGGAUUCACAAGAGCCGCAAGGCUUUUGUAAACUCGAUCUCAAAUCAAGUAAGACUACCCGCUGAACUUAA